rnacentral:lncRNA from 1 species
AUUAAGGACUUUAUUCAGGUAUGCCGGUUCAUAAAGACGCCUGAUGUCGGGACGGUGAAGGCACGUCUACAAGAUAAUGUGGUGUAAACAGAUGGUAAACGUAAUUUCCGGACACAGAUGCGACUUGCAAGGGUCAAAAUCUUUAUAUUAUGAUCUCUAUGUGCAUGCGAAUAUCUUCAGCCGACUUGUAAAAUGUCCAAACAGCUCCAACUGCUACCUAAGAUGAUAACACGGACGAUAAAGGAAUGAAGGGUAUGUCUGCUUCACUACGAUUGACAAAACUUGCACAUCUACUUUCAAGCUGGUGAAAGCACGACUUCAAGAUGUAAACUAAAAAAGAAGAUGGUAAUUUCCGGCCACAAGUGUCAAAAUCUUAAAAUUAGGGUCGAAGAGAAAUAUACGUCUCCUUGCGGUAAACAGAAUACAGCACGGCAUUUUGCUUCAUAUACGUGUUAUUCAAAAGACAACAACAGUUUAAAGCCAAAGGAACCCAAUCUAACAAAUUGUGUCAGUCUUUGGACAUUGGAAAUUCUCCCCUUUGCUGAUGAAAUACCAUCUAUCAUUUAAUGGAUAUUUAACUAGAACGGAACGGAACAGAACAGAACAGAACGGACCAGAACAGAACUCUCAGUCAGCAUUUACAUCUCUGUAAACGGCAUCGAUAUUGCCAUUUAAUUUAUCAUAUAUUUAUCGAUUUAUAACUGGUAUUCUGCGGACUCCGUAAUUGAUACAUUGCCAUUUUCUUGACAAAAUAUUGAUAAAUCAGUUGAUAGACCGAUACCGAAGUUGGAUUUUGCUGUUAUCCGAAUUCAGAAAGCAGCAUAAUAUAAUAAGUACAAUGAUUAUCAAGAUUUAUAAAAAAUGUUUCACCUAGAGUUAUUUUGACAUAGGAAAUUCUACAGGCUGAACACCACUAAAUCCAGCUGUUCUUUAUUUCAUAUAAAAUCCACUCACUUCAUAACGGUGUU